CCUACGGGAGGCAGCAGUGGGGAUUCUUGCACAAUGGAGGAAACUCUGAUGCAGCGAUGCCGCGUGAGUGAAGAAGGCCUUUGGGUUGUAAAGCUCUUUUGUAGGGGAAGAUAAUGACUGUACCCUAAGAAUAAGGUCCGGCUAACUUCGUGCCAGCAGCCGCGGUAAUACGAAGGGACCUAGCGUAGUUCGGAAUUACUGGGCGUAAAGCGCGCGUAGGCCGUUGAGUUAGUUAAUUGUGAAAUCCCAAAGCUUAACUUUGGAACUGCAAUUAAAACUGCUCGACUAGAGUUUGAUAGAGGAAAGCGGAAUACAUAGUGUAGAGGUGAAAUUCGUAGAUAUUAUGUAGAACACCAGUUGCGAAGGCGGCUUUCUGGAUCAACACUGACGCUGAGGCGCGAAAGUAUGGGUAGCAAAGAGGAUUAGAUACCCUCGUAGUCCAUACCAUAAACGAUGAUUGCUAGAUGUUGGAAAUUUAUUUUCAGUAUCGCAGCUAACGCAUUAAGCAAUCCGCCUGGGGAGUACGAUCGCAAGAUUAAAACUCAAAGGAAUUGACGG
rnacentral:rRNA from 1 species